rnacentral:rRNA from 1 species
CCUACGGGUGGCAGCAGUGGGGAAUAUUGGACAAUGGGCGAAAGCCUGAUCCAGCCAUGCCGCGUGUGUGAAGAAGGCCUUCGGGUUGUAAAGCACUUUCAGUGGGGAAGAAAGCCUUGGGGCUAAUACCCUCGAGGAAGGACAUCACCCACAGAAGAAGCACCGGCUAACUCCGUGCCAGCAGCCGCGGUAAUACGGAGGGUGCGAGCGUUAAUCGGAAUUACUGGGCGUAAAGCGCGCGUAGGCGGUCUGAUAAGCCGGUUGUGAAAGCCCCGGGCUCAACCUGGGAACGGCAUCCGGAACUGGCAGGCUAGAGUGCAGGAGAGGAAGGUAGAAUUCCCGGUGUAGCGGUGAAAUGCGUAGAGAUCGGGAGGAAUACCAGUGGCGAAGGCGGCCUUCUGGACUGACACUGACGCUGAGGUGCGAAAGCGUGGGUAGCAAACAGGAUUAGAUACCCUGGUAGUC